rnacentral:rRNA from 1 species
GAUGAACGCUGGCGGCGUGCCUAAUACAUGCAAGUCGAGCGAACAGACGAGGAGCUUGCUCCUCUGACGUUAGCGGCGGACGGGUGAGUAACACGUGGAUAACCUACCUAUAAGACUGGGAUAACUUCGGGAACCGGAGCUAAUACCGGAUAAUAUAUUUAACCGCAUGGUUCAAUAGUGAAAGACGGUUUUGCUGUCACUUAUAGAUGGAUCCGCGCCGCAUUAGCUAGUUGGUAAGGUAACGGCUUACCAAGGCAACGAUGCGUAGCCGACCUGAGAGGGUGAUCGGCCACACUGGAACUGAGACACGGUCCAGACUCCUACGGGAGGCACCAGUAGGGAAUCUUCCGCAAUGGGCGAAAGCCUGACGGAGCAACGCCGCGUGAGUGAUGAAGGUCUUCGGAUCGUAAAACUCUGUUAUUAGGGAAGAACAAAUGUGUAAGUAACUAUGCACGUCUUGACGGUACCUAAUCAGAAAGCCACGGCUAACUACGUG